rnacentral:rRNA from 1 species
GACGAACGCUGGCGGCGCGCCUAACACAUGCAAGUCGAACGAGCGAGAGAGAGCUUGCUUUCUCGAGCGAGUGGCGAACGGGUGAGUAACGCGUGAGGAACCUGCCUCAAAGAGGGGGACAACAGUUGGAAACGACUGCUAAUACCGCAUAAGCCCACGGCUCGGCAUCGAGCAGAGGGAAAAGGAGCAAUCCGCUUUGAGAUGGCCUCGCGUCCGAUUAGCUAGUUGGUGAGGUAAUGGCCCACCAAGGCGACGAUCGGUAGCCGGACUGAGAGGUUGAACGGCCACAUUGGGACUGAGACACGGCCCAGACUCCUACGGGAGGCAGCAGUGGGGAAUAUUGCACAAUGGGGGAAACCCUGAUGCAGCGACGCCGCGUGGAGGAAGAAGGUCUUCGGAUUGUAAACUCCUGUUGUUGGGGAAGAUAAUGACG